rnacentral:rRNA from 1 species
AUUGAACGCUAGCGGCAUGCCUUACACAUGCAAGUCGAACGAGUGGCGGACGGGUGUGUAAUAUAUCGGAACGUGCCCAGUAGCGGGGGAUAACUACUCGAAAGCGUGGCUAAUACCGCAUACCAUCGGAGCGGCCGACAUCGGAUUAGCUAGUUGGUGGGGUAAAGGCUCACCAAGGCGACGAUCCGUAGCUGGUUUGAGAGGAUGACCAGCCACACUGGAACUGAGACACGGCCCAGACUCCUACGGGAGGCAGCAGUGGGGAAUUUUGGACAAUGGGGGAAAGCCUGAUGCAGCCAUCCCGCGUGUAUGAGAAGGCCUUCGGGUUGUAAAGUACUUUCAGCGGGGAGGCGGUAUCUGCAGAAGAAGCACCGGCUAACUACGUGCCAGCAGCCGCGGUAAUUC